AUACAUCUCUUAUAACGGGCCUGC
rnacentral:siRNA from 1 species